CCACUGCCCCCUCCUCCUCUCCUUUCCUCCGCUGCCCCCCCUCCCCCCCGCCCACACAAAGGAGUGAUUGUCCCCCCUCUCCCUCACGCUCUUUCUCUCUCCCUCCUUCUCUGUUGUGGCUGGAAAGAUGAAUUAGUGACUGUGAGGGUAAAGAAACUCCCCACCCUUACAUCUAGUCUAACUAGUCAUUACCAACACUACCUUAUAACCACUGUCCCUCUCUCUGCCUCCUCUCCUCCCUCUCCAGACACUGUUCCUUCUGUUUAUGUGCGUGUGUAUCCGUUCUCUGUGAGUGUGUUUAUAGCCUACUGUGUGUAUCCGUUCUCUGUGAGUGUGUUUAUAGCCUACUGUGUGUAUCCGUUCUCUGUGAGUGUGUUUAUAGCCUACUGUGUGUAUCUGUUCUCUGUGAGUGUGUUUAUAGCCUACUGUGUGUAUCCGUUCUCUGUGAGUGUGUUUAUAGUCUACUGUGUGUAUCUGUUCUCUGUGAGUGUGUAUAUAGCCUACUGUGUGUAUCCGUUCUCUGUGAGUGUGUAUAUAGCCUACUGUGUGUAUCCGUUCUCUGUGAGUGUGUUUAUAGCCUACUGUGUGUAUCCGUUCUCUGUGAGUGUGUAUAUAGCCUACUGUGUGUAUCUGUUCUCUGUGAGUGUGUAUAUAGCCUACUGUGUGUAUCCGUUCUCUGUGAGUGUGUAUAUAGCCUACUGUGUGUAUCUGUUCUCUGUGAGUGUGUUUAUAACCUACUGUGUGUAUCUGUUCUCUGUGAGUGUGUAUAUAGCCUACUGUGUGUAUCUGUUCUCUGUGAGUGUGUAUAUAGCCUACUGUGUGUAUCCGUUCUCUGUGAGUGUGUAUAUAGCCUACUGUGUGUAUCCGUUCUCUGUGAGUGUGUUUAUAGCCUACUGUGUGUAUCCGUUCUCUGUGAGUGUGUAUAUAGGCUACUGUGAGUAUCCGUUCUCUGUGAGUGUGUUUAUAGCCUACUGUGUGUAUCCGUUCUCUGUGAGUGUUUAUAGCCUACUGUGUGUAUCCGUUCUCUGUGAGUGUUUAUAG
rnacentral:lncRNA from 1 species